rnacentral:rRNA from 1 species
UGAGGAAUAUUGGGUCAAUGGGCGAAAGCCUGAACCAGCCAAGUCGCGUGAGGGAAGAAGGUCCUACGGAUUGUAAACCUCUUUUGCCGGGGAGCAAAGGGGCUAUUUAUAGCAAGAUGAGCGUACCCGAAGAAAAGCAUCGGCUAACUCCGUGCCAGCAGCCGCGGUAAUACGGAGGAUGCGAGCGUUAUCCGGAUUUAUUGGGUUUAAAGGGUGCGCAGGCGGACUCGUCAAGUCAGCGGUAAAAAUUCGGGGCUCAACCCCGUCCGGCCGUUGAAACUGAGAGACUGGAGUGCGACAGAGGGAAGCGGAAUGCGAGGUGUAGCGGUGAAAUGCAUAGAUAUCGCGCAGAACUCCGAUUGCGAAGGCAGCUUUCCAUGUCGUAACUGACGCUGAGGCACGAAAGCGUGGGGAUCGAACAGGAUUAGAUACCCUGGUAGU